CCGGUGCUGCAGCAGCAGGUCGCGCCACCAUCCCGACCGGUGCACCGCCUCGAUCAGCAGCAAUAACAACAGGUCACAGCAACAGCGCAUAGGCGGCAGCAGCAGCGCGUGGGUAGCAGCAGCAGCAGCGCGUGGGUAGCAGCAGCAGCAAACUCCGACAGCAGCUACAAACAGAGGGAGUAUACAUCAAAACUCACUGCGGCAGUGACGGAUUAAGAGGGUAACUUUAUCUUACUUGAUUAAUUUUAAUUCAUUCUUCUCCUAUCUAUUCAUGUGGGUCUUUAUAUCUGCCUAUUUAUAUCUUCAACCUUUGUUGUAAAACCCCAAAAAAAUUAUCCAUUUUUCAAAGUCCCAAACAAAAUAACGUUUGGUCAAAUUUGAAUAAGUACUUAAUUUUAUUUCAAAACAACCCAUGAUUUAUGAUACUGUAAAAUACUUGUGUAUAAAAGAACAAAAAGAAAGUUGUUGAAUCUAAAAGGUACAGGCCUUGCAAUUUCUUCUGUACUUUUCUUUCUUGGGUCAUAAUGUUGACCAAAUUAGUGUGAAAAUAUAGACUGGUCAACGGACAGAGAUUGAAUUUUGGUGGCUACUUUAUACAUACAUUACCGUAAAGCCAAAAAUAUUCACUGAAACGCGGCUUUAUUUUAGAAAAGUAUGUAUUCCAAUAUGACAAACGUUAAAGUUUGAAUUCCAAAAAGAUAUCUAUUCAUGUGGGUGUUCUUUCAUUUUCUAUGUUGAUGCUUGUUUUCAAAUUGGCUCGUAUUGCAGUUGACGAAUCUCGAUGUUGUUGUGUGUUUGUGCCAUGUAGUAACUAAUAAUUAUUGAAUCUUUUUCUAGUGUUGAAAGGGUUGAUUUUGCGGGAUAGACAACUGAGGAAGCUCAACAUCAAAAAAAGUUGAUACAAGCUUCUUUCAUCAAAGUAGGAGAUAAGGUUUGGUGUUUCUAAAUUUCUAAAGUUCAAGUACAAUUUCUUUUUAUAAUGUGUUUGUGUCCAUCUAGUAUUGAUACUUGGUUUAAAUUUUGUGAUAAUUAGUUUGUGUCCAUCGAGUGUUUGUAAAGCAUAAGUACCAACACUAGUUGAUCCUAUUGAUGACAACUAUUGAUUUUCUUGCAUGAUCAAUUUGUGUCUAUCUAGUGUUGACACUUAGCUUUAAAUUUAGAAAUAUUAUAUUUGAUAACCAUAAGUACCAACACUAGUUGAUCCUAUUGAUGACAAAAUUGAUUUUCUUGGAAGACCGAUUUGUGUCCAUCUAGUGUUGACACUUAACUUUAAUUUAGAAAUAAUGUGUUUGUUAAGCAUAAGUACAACACUAGUUGAUCCUAUUGAUGACAACAUUGAUUUUCUUGCAUGAUCAAUUUGUGUCUAUCUAGUGUUGACACUUAGCUUUAAAUUUAGAAAUAUUAUAUUUGAUAACCAUAAGUACCAACACUAGUUGAUCCUAUUAAUGACAAAAUUGAUUUUCUUGCAUGAUCAAUUUGUGUCUAUCUAGUGUUGACACUUAACUUUAAAUUUAGAAAUAUUAUAUUUGAUAACCAUAAGUACCAACACUAGUUGAUCCUAUUAAUGACAAAAUUGAUUUUCUUGGAAGAUCGAUUUGUGUCCAUCUAGUGUUGACACUGAGCUUUAAUUUAGGAAUAAUGUGUUUGUUAAGCAUAAGUACCAACACUAGUUGAUCCUAUUAAUGACAAAAUUGAUUUUCUUGCAUGAUCAAUUUGUGUCUAUCUAGUGUUGACACUGAGCUUUAAUUUAGGAAUAAUGUGUUUGUUUAAGCAUAAGUACCAACACUAGUUGAUCAUAUUGAUGACAAAAUUAAUUUUCUUGCAAGAUCGAUUUGUGUCCAUCUAGUGUUGACACUUAGCUUUAAAUAAGUUAAAAUAAAAUAAUGUGGUUUAGUUGGUGGAUUUAGUUAUUGGAAUUAAGUCAAAAUUAAACUAGUUAAAGUUGUUAAGUUGUUCGGUUAAGUUAAAAUAAAAUAAUGUGGUUUAGUUGAUGGAUUUAGUUGAUGGAAUUAACGUCAAAACUAAACUAUUUAAAGUUGUUAAGUUGUUCGGUUAAGUUAAAAUAAAAUAAUGUGGUUUAGUUGGUGGAUUUAGUUAUUGGAAUUAAGUCAAAACUGAACUAGUGAAAGUUGUUAAGUUGUUUGGUUAAGUUAAAAUAAAUAAUGUGGUUUAGUUAGUGAAUUUAGUUGUUGGAAUUAAGUCAAAACUGAACUAGUGAAAGUUGUUAAGUUGUUUAAAUAAGCUAAGUUAAAUAAUGUGGUUUUGUUGUUGGAUUUAGUUGUUUGAAUUAAGUCAAAACUAAAUUAGUUAAAGUUAAAAAGUUGUUAAGUUGUUUGGUUAAGUUAAAAUAAAUAAUGUGGUUUAGUUGAUGGAUUUAGUUGAUGGAAUUACGUCAAAACUAAACUAUUUAAAGUUGUUAAGUUGUUUAAAUAAGUUAAAAUAAAAAAUGUGGUUUAGUUAGUGAAUUUAGUUGUUGGAAUUAAGUCAAAAUUAAAUUAGUUAAAGUUGGUAAGUUGUUUAAAUAAGUUAAAUAAUNNNNNNNNNNNNNNNNNNNNNNNNNNNNNNNNNNNNNNNNNNNNNNNNNNNNNNNNNNNNNNNCUAAACUAUUUAAAGUUGUUAAGUUGUUUAAAUAAGUUAAAUUAAUUAAUGUGGUUUAGUUGGUGGAUUUAGUGUUGUAUUAAGUGAAAGCUAAACUAGUUAAAGUUGUUAAGUUGUUUAAAUAAGUUAAAUUAAUUAAUGUGGUUUAGUUGGUGGAUUUAGUGUUGUAUUAAGUCAAAACUAAACUAGUUAAAGUUGUUAAGUUGUUUAAAUAAGUUAAAUUAAUUAAUGUGGUUUAGUUGGUGGAUUUAGUGUUGUAUUAAGUCAAAACUAAACUAGUUAAAGUUGUUAAGUUGUUUAAAUAAGUUAAAUUAAUUAAUGUGGUUUAGUUGGUGGAUUUAGUGUUGUAUUAAGUCAAAACUUAGACUUAGAAAGUUGUUAAGUUGUUUAAAUAAGUUUAAAUGCUAUUUAGUUGUUGGAAUUAAAAUUAUCAUUAUUGUUUGUGUAGAUGGAUCCUGUUCAUAGUUGGAUGUAUAAUAGAAACAAUCCUGGUCGAGCGGGUAUGAUUCCAGAAUUCACAGAAGGUGUCACUAGAUUUAUAAAUCAUGCAAAGACACUUGAUGAUUUUUUAACUUCAAGAUUGAUUAGGUGUCCCUGUGUUAAUUGUGAAAAUGUGAGAUAUCAUACAACAUAGACUGUUGCUAUGCAUCUUAUGAUGAAUGGAUUCAAACCAUGGUAUACAGUUUGGACUAGUCAUUGUGAGGUUGAAAGUGACACUAUGUUUAAUAACUUUGUUGUCGGUGAAAGUAGUAGAUCUAUCGAGCAUAAUUAUUUCCAAGAGGUAUGCAGUGCUUCAGGCCCAACUAACUUUUCUUUUUGAAUCAAGAAAUAUUCUUCCUCCAUUUCCGGCCAGCAAUGAUGGAACUGAUCAGGAGGGUGAUGAGAAUGAUAAGUCUGAUAAGGAGAGUGAGGGUGAUGAGAAAGUCUGAUAAGGAGAGUGAGGGUGAUGAGGAGUAGUUGUAUCUAUUUGACAUUUUAGACUUCUAUAUUUUUGGAAUUGUUUGAUCGUAUUUUAGUUUAUUUUGAAGUUGGAUGAAGUUUAUUUUGAAAUAGUUUAAUGUAUAUGUUGAAAUAUUGUGUUGUUUUGGUUGGUAUGAAGUUUAUUUGGAAUUCUUUGGGUUGUUUUGGUAUAAUAUGCAGGUGGACAAUUAAAAUUGCAGCAAUUUGCUGCUAGUUUUGUAGCAGAAAACCGACCUACGGAGGUCGGAAUUUCAAAAAUAAAAAACUAAGAAUACCGACCUCGGAGGUCAGAAUUUCAAAAAUAAAGAAUGAAAAUACCGACCUCCAGAGGUCAGAAUUGCAAAACUAAAGAAUAAAAAUACCGACCUCCGGAGGUCAGAAUUUUCAAAUAUACAAAAAUAAUUAUACCGACCUUCGGAGGUCAGAAUUUCAAAAAUACAAAAAUAAAAAUACCGACCUCCGGAGGUCAGACUUUCAAAAAUACAAAAAUAAAAAUACCGACUUCCGGAGGUCAGAAUCUCAAAAAUAAAAAAAUAAGAAUACCGACCUCCGGAGGUCAGAAUCUCAAAAAUAAAAAAUAAAAUAUCGACCUCCAGAGGUCAGAAUUUAAAAAUUAAGACGACUUCCAGAGGUCGAGAUUAUUAAAUUAAAAAUAAAAAAAUUAACAAAUACCAACAUCCGGAUGUCGGUAUUCCAAAAUAUGAGAAAUAAAUAUUCUGACCUCAGGAAGUCGGAAAAUAAAAUAAUAAAUUUUCCGACUUAAAAUAUAAACUGACCUCAAGAGGUCAGUAAAUACCGACCUCCAGAGGUCGGUAUUGAAUAACGACCAAGCUUUUUUCGACCUAAGCUGGGAUGUUGGUUUUAGGUCGAUAUUUCAGGGAAUACCAACUUCCGUAGGUCGGUAUUCAUUGUUUUUUAGUAGUGAUUUCACUUUCAUGUCCUCUCGGUGCUAUGCAUUAUUCCCCUUUAGAGUCAUAAUUAGCCUUUACUUAAGUUCAUAACAACAUUCAUUAAGCACUCAUGCCAACAUAUCAUCAUAAUAGCUCAUAGGUUCCUUAAGUGAGAAUGCUCUUUUCACUUUAGCAACACUAGCAUGUGAGUAAACCUUUCACAUUAUAAUCGUAUUGUGAUCAUGAGGAUGUCCUUUCAAAUCACACAACAAGCUUACCAUAAACAUACAUACAUAUAUACAUAAAUACAUACAUACAUAAAUACAUACAUAAUCAAGUGUAUAGGGUAUAGGGAAAGAGGACCUUGCAUCAAUACCACCACUACACAAUAGAAAUAGAAUCUCUACUAUCGAAGCAAUUCAAGUUCUCAUACACAAUUCCCAUAAAGGGACAUAACCUUCAUACCUUUGCCCUUCAAGGGUCUUGGAAUCACAAUCAACCCAACUAUAUACAAUUACUACAUAAUAUAGAAGGAACUCAUGAUUCAAUAGCUUAAUCAACAUAAACAUAUUCAAUUGACAUAUUCACAAUAUCAUCCAACCCACAAUAUCAAUUCAAGAUCUAUCAACAUGGGAACACAUGGGUCUAUGGGGAAUUUUCAUUAUAAACAUCAAUUCUCCAUCAAUAUAUUCAUAAUUCGUCAUAAAUAACCAUAAACCAUCAUAAUUAAGCAAUGAAAACGUUUUGAAAAGAAGACCCAUGUUAUAGAAUGAAAACCCUAGAAAUUGGGAAAUUUGAUAUCUUAUAAACAUAUUUGAAGGGGCUCCUUGGGUGAUAGCUACCCAAGGAUAAAAAGCAAUCAUACCUCAACUAUGAAACUCCAAGAAAUUUGGGGAAGAACCUUCAAACUCUAGCAACCCUAGCUUCAAUGUCGUCUUCUUCUUCUUGAGUUUAGAGAGAAAAUUUUAGAGAGAAGUGGGAGGUUUUUUAUUUCAAUUGGGUGUUUGUGAAAAAUGACUAAGUCUAGUGAAAUUUGACUUAAAAACAAGGGAAAAAGGACAAAUAUAUCCCUGAACUUUCAAAAAUGGUAUGUCAAUACCCUCCGUCAUACUUUUCGUUCAUCAAAGCCCUUGCCGUCCAAUAAUUAGUGCACAUUUGCCCCUCCCACUAACGGAACACUCAUUGUGUACACGUGGCGCAAUUCUAUGCCACAAUCCGAAUUGACCAAUCUUUUAACCCAAAUUAAAAAAAUCCGCCCAUAACCCAUUUAACCCACCCGAUUAACCCACAAUAAACUCUCUAAAAUCUAAAGAAAAAGCCCCAAUACCCGUUACUUUCUCACAAACUUUUUCAGGCUUUGUACAUCAUUUCUACUACUCUCUUGAUUUUUCUUUCUUUUGAUUCUUGUUUUCCCUGUUUUAGCUGUUGAUCCUUUUACACAAUGAUUCUUGAGCUUAAAAACUGAAAUUCUUGAUAAUUCCAACAGUUUAAAAGAUUGGAUUUUGCCUUCUCAUUUCAACUGAUAAAAUUUAUGCAUGUUCUUGGUCUGGUGUGAAAUGCAAUGAAAAUUCUGCUUUGAUUAUUAGAUUGGAUAUUUCUGUGAAAAAUCUUGGUGGGUUUUCUCAGAGAAUCAAUUUAGUGUUUUUUCAGACCUUGUUGAGCUGAAUUUGAGUCAACUCAUUUUCUGAGAAACUCCCGGUUGGGGUUUUCAAGUUGAGUAAUUUGAGAAACUUGGAUAUUACCAGGAACAAUUUUUCUGGUCAUUUCCCAAGUGGAUUUCAAAUCUUGAUUCUCUUGUCAUUCUUGAUGCUUUUAGUAACAACUUCUUUGGUCCUUUGCCUAAAGAUGCUUCAGAAAUUGAGUCACUCAAGGUACUGUUAGGGUUUGCUUUGUGAGAUGAACGAUUGUAAUGGGUAUUGGGGUAUUAGGGCUUUUUCUUUAAGAUUUUAGAGAGUUUAUUUGUGGGUAAAUCGGGUUGGGUUAAAUGGGCGAGUUUUUAAAAUUUGGGUUAAAAGAUUGGUCAAUCCGGAUUGUGGCGUAGGAUUGCGCCACGUGUACACAAUGAGUGUUUCGUUAGUGGGAGGGGCAAAUAUGCACUAAUUAUUGGACGGCAAGGGCUCUGAUGGACGAAAAGUAUGACGGAGGAUAUUGAAAUACCAUUUUUAAAAGUUCGGGGAUAUAUUUGUACUUUUUCCCUAAAAACAAUAUAUAUACUACCCCUAAAAAUACCCAAAACACCCCACUUAAUUUGGACUAAAGAGUAAAACACAUAAAAAGUCCUCAUUUAAAGUCCCCGCCCAGGUCUCACGACCCACUCCACGGGCCGUGGUGAUGACCACGGACCGUGGUUCUGUCCGUGGAGUUGAGGCAGUAGCCUCCUCAAAUUUUCCAACCUCCAAUGAGUCCAAGGCAUAACCACAAGACCUCCCACGGUCCGUGGUGAAGGUCGUGGUCUUGAGGCCAUGAUAAGGCCCUCCAUGCCUUGCCUCCACAUGCCAAGGCAUGUUCACAAGCCACUCUCCCCCUCGUCAAGUGCACCACGUCCCGUCAAAGUGCUCGUGGUGCCUUAGGCAGUAGCUCCUCUAAAAUGCUCCAACUAAUUAAAAACUAAGGGGGUCUCACGCCUACCUUCACGAGUCGUGAAGUGGACCACGACUCGUGGUCCCUCUUGUGAAGGUUAGACACUUUGAGGCUCUCCUCAUUUGGCCAAGGAAACUCCACGAAGCCUCCCACUGGUUGUGGUCAUGACCACGAACCGUGGUGAUGGCCGUGGAGUUUGAGGCAGUAGCUCCAAGUUUGGGGCAGCCUUGGCCUUUGGCCUUGGCUUGCCCCUUUUUGCUUGGCACUCCUCCCUUAGGCCUUGAAUCAUAAACCCCCAUAACAUGCUUAGAUGUUCUACUAACCUAGGGGAAAUUAUUUUAUAUGUUUGGACCUUACGUUUAGGCUCUAGUUCAACCUACGAAUUUUUCGGGUUGUUACAAUCCACUUAGUUGAGGCGUUCUAUAUCCCGGCAAGUUAUAGGACAAUUCUGGUAGCUUGGGCAAGAAAUUGUAUCAUCACAUAACUCAUAGUGAUGGUUCUCGGAUAGAGAAACUCCCACAAAGGUAUAUUACUUUAUUAUAUAUGUCUAUUGAGUUGUUUCAAUGCUUUAUAUAAACUGCAUCUUUAAUGUUGUUUAAUUCUGCAUUUGAGUUGAGUAUCCAUGAGUUUGAGUAAAGUUGAGGUAAUUGUUUCUUUCAAAUUCCAGCUCAAGCUUAUGUAUUGUUUAGAAUUCCCCUCGCAUGCUCAUACAUUCAAUGUACUGAUGCCAUUUUUGCCUGCAUCGUUUUAUGAUGCAGAUACAGGUAACCAGGAUCAGCAUCCAGCCCCUCGUUCAUCCAGUUGAG
rnacentral:lncRNA from 1 species